AAAAAAAAAAAAAACAAGACAUUGAAGCGUUCGAGAUAGCGAAAAAGUUACGAAGCUUCAGCAGACGUGAACUAACGCCUGACUCUAGCCGCGUCGCUCUCUCUACCUCCGUCCGCCGCCCAGGUAAGGUCAUCCCAGCCACGUGCCGCCGCCUCGCUCCGCUGCUUCACAAGGCGCUCCACGCGUGCCACAGCCAGCCGGCGCUCCCUAUUGGCGGCCUGAAGACCCACGCACCCCAGCAACAAGGUGAAGGCUGUGCUCUGGCAGGUCGCUCCAGCUUGCCAUCAUAGGUGCUAGCCUGCCCUGAGCACCCUCCUCUCUGCCUGUGACGCGCCGGGGGUGUCUGGCUGGAUGAGUGGUGACGCUGCAGUGACCUCGCAGACUGGCGGCGGCACUCCCCUGCAAUACGUCCCCUGCAUUGCUGUAACAAAGCAGCCGUGUGAGCGACUCGUGGGCUGGCGCGCCGCCGGUUAAUGAUGUACGAGAGGCUCCCAAAUAUAUAUUAUUUUUA